CCUACGGGAGGCAGCAGUGGGGAAUAUUGGGCAAUGGGCGCAAGCCUGACCCAGCAACGCCGCGUGAAGGAAGAAGGCCCUCGGGUUGUAAACUUCUUUUAACAGGGACGAAGAAAGUGACGGUACCUGUUGAAUAAGCCACGGCUAACUACGGGCCAGCAGCCGCGGUACUACGUAGGUGGCAAGAGUUAUCCGGAUUUACUGGGGGUAAAGGGCGGGUAGGCGGGAGAGAAAGUCAGAGGUGAAAUUCCGGGGAUAAACCCUGGAACUGCGUUUGAAACGGUUAUUCUUGAGGGAUGGAGGGGCAGGCGGAAUUCCGUGUGUAGCGGUGAAAUGCGUAGAUAUACGGAGGAACACCAGUGGCGAAGGCGGCCUGCUGGACAUUAACUGACGCUGAGGCGCGAAAGCGUGGGGAGCAAACAGGAUUAGAUACCCCAGUAGU
rnacentral:rRNA from 1 species